UCUGCAGGGAGACUCACUGGCCCCUUAGCUUCCAAGUUGGGCUAAGAUCCAAAGAGAAUGCAAAGAAUCCUCCCAUCCCAGAACUCUUUCCUUCCACCCUCUCCUGCCAUCCUUUAUCAGAGCCAAACGGGAGGGAGGUCUCUAACAUAGGCCAAAGGCAUGGCAGGACGAUGUGGUGUGGACCAUUCACAAGCAGGCCGCGUUUCUCUCAUGACUGAACUGAGUAAAUUCAUGAGGAAGGCCGAGUGGAGGAGGAUGGGCCAGCCUUCUUCCUCUCAGUGCCCACGGACAGCGGGGCUCUUCCUCGGCCAUGGCUAGGACCCCCAGCCCUUGCUGAGGAGUCUUUUUCAGAGGCCCGAUGCCCGGGGCUGGGGAGGCUGGAUGUCAGGGGAGGAGCCACGUUCUAAGCUGCUGCCUCCCAGCAUCGGGUCAGGACAAGCCCCAGGAAGAAAGUAUUCCAAACAACAGGGCGGAUCUGCCCUAACUACCCAGUGUGCAUGUUGGUGCUGAGAACAGCCUUUUAUGGGGUUUGCACUGAGCCACGGGCAUGUCUGAACACAGCAAGGAAGAGGCCCGGCAGCAGCCGCACAGCCACUGCCCCCAACCCUGUGCCUCCAAAAGGUGAGGGUGUGCCAUUUCCAAACAGACUUAGGAGAGGAUGUGGGGCCACCAGAAAGCAGAUGUCCUGGGUAAGUCUACGUCCAGCAGCGAGACCCGGGAGUCUCACCCUCCUCUGGCCCGCACCCCCAGCCCAGCCGGGGUCCUGGUCCCUCCCGAGCUCCUCAGCCUCUCCUCCUGAUUGCCCGCUGGCAGAUGGGCCUGCUGAGUGCUGUCCACGCUCACUGGACAGUGCAUUCUGGAGAGGAGGCCCCGUCCCUGCAUCCCCUCACCUUGGUGAGCAGGUCCACAGGUGAUGGGUUUUUCUAAAGUAACUUCAGAACACCUGACUGCCACACCGAGCUCAGUCACAUCACACACAGGGGGACACGGACAAAGGGGGGAGGGGGCCAGCUCCCCAACGAGGGAGACCGAGAAGUUCCCCCUGGAUAUGCCUGCAUGGCUGCCUCGGGGGUGAGAAACAGCAGUUGCCAGCCCCACAGCCCAGCCCGCACUCAGCACUGUCCGCCGGUGCUGCAGACAGAGGGUGGCUUGCUGAGCCCGCUCUCUGCAGCCCGUGGAAGGCGGUGAUCCUGGGAGGGCAGAGCGUAUCCAGGUCCCCCACAUCUCCCACAUCUGCGAUUCCAAGAUCCCGAAGGCCUGCGACCAGGCAGUAACCCUGCGUGCAGAGGCUGGGGAUGACGUGCAGCCCACCCUCUGAGAACAAGACCCCCAGACGAUCCAUGUGUUUCUCUUGUCCUUCAUUCCACCGGAGUCUGUUUCAUACCCAACCAGAUUUCAGUGGAGUGAAGUUCAGGAGGCAUGGAGCUGACGCCACAGCCGCAGCAGCCCCAACAGUGGCAGCGGGGGAGCUCUGACUUAGAAAACGGAACCCCAGGGAGAGAUGGGAUAGAGGAGGAGACCCUGGAGCGAGUGUCUUCUGCAGAGGGGACCGGUGUAGGCGGAUUGGGAACAGCACCACAGAUAGGAACCGCCUUCUAAAUGCCUGCAAGGGGAAUGCGUGUUUUCUGUAACUUACAAACAUUAAAAAGUUGUCCGUCUGCUGGAAA